GCCUUGAUGGCUCAGUUGGUUAGAGCGCAGGUCUCAUACUAUAUGUAUGACCGGUCCAGUUACCAGGCAAUCCUGAGGUCGCAAGUUCGAACUUUCCUCAGGGCA